rnacentral:pre_miRNA from 1 species
AAAAAGACAAACCCUGGUUUUCGUGCCCAACGUUUGACCGUUCGUCUUAUUUGAAAAAAAUAUGAAAAAAAUAAAAAGACAAGUCACGUAUAAAAUAUUAAUCAUGUUUUAUCAUCUAACAACAAUGAAAAUACGAAUUAUAAAAAAAUUUCAUAUAAGACGGACAGUCAAAGUUGGACACGGAAACCCAGGGUUUGCCUUUUU